GUACUGCUGAACCAGAGUCCCAAAAUAGGACGAAACAGCUGUCCAGUAC
rnacentral:hammerhead_ribozyme from 1 species